GACGAACGCUGGCGGCGUGCCUAAUACAUGCAAGUCGAGCGGACUUGAAGGAGUGCUUGCACUCCUGAGAGUUAGCGGCGGACGGGUGAGUAACACGUAGGCAACCUGCCCUCAAGACUGGGAUAACUACCGGAAACGGUAGCUAAUACCGGAUAAUUUAUUACAUAGCAUUAUGUGAUAAUGAAAGACGGAGCAAUCUGUCACUUGGGGAUGGGCCUGCGGCGCAUUAGCUAGUUGGUGGGGUAACGGCCCACCAAGGCGACGAUGCGUAGCCGACCUGAGAGGGUGAACGGCCACACUGGGACUGAGACACGGCCCAGACUCCUACGAGAGGCAGCAGUAGGGAAUCUUCCGCAAUGGGCGAAAGCCUGACGGAGCAACGCCGCGUGAGUGAUGAAGGUUUUCGGAUCGUAAAGCUCUGUUGCCAAGGAAGAACGUCUCAUAGAGUAACUGCUAUGAGAGUGACGGUACUUGAGAAGAAAGCCCCGGCUAACUACGUG
rnacentral:rRNA from 1 species